AACGCUGGCGGCGUGCCUAAUACAUGCAAGUCGAGCGAACAGACGAGGAGCUUGCUCCUCUGACGUUAGCGGCGGACGGGUGAGUAACACGUGGAUAACCUACCUAUAAGACUGGGAUAACUUCGGGAAACCGGAGCUAAUACCGGAUAAUAUAUUGAACCGCAUGGUUCAAUAGUGAAAGACGGUUUUGCUGUCACUUAUAGAUGGAUCCGCGCCGCAUUAGCUAGUUGGUAAGGUAACGGCUUACCAAGGCAACGAUGCGUAGCCGACCUGAGAGGGUGAUCGGCCACACUGGAACUGAGACACGGUCCAGACUCCUACGGGAGGCAGCAGUAGGGAAUCUUCCGCAAUGGGCGAAAGCCUGACGGAGCAACGCCGCGUGAGUGAUGAAGGUCUUCGGAUCGUAAAACUCUGUUAUUAGGGAAGAACAAAUGUGUAAGUAACUAUGCACGUCUUGACGGUACCUAAUCAGAAAGCCACGGCUAACUACGUGCCAGCAGCCGCGGUAAUACGUAGGUGGCAAGCGUUAUCCGGAAUUAUUGGGCGUAAAGCGCGCGUAGGCGGUUUUUUAAGUCUGAUGUGAAAGCCCACGGCUCAACCGUGGAGGGUCAUUGGAAACUGGAAAACUUGAGUGCAGAAGAGGAAAGUGGAAUUCCAUGUGUAGCGGUGAAAUGCGCAGAGAUAUGGAGGAACACCAGUGGCGAAGGCGACUUUCUGGUCUGUAACUGACGCUGAUGUGCGAAAGCGUGGGGAUCAAACAGGAUUAGAUACCCUGGUAGUCCACGCCGUAAACGAUGAGUGCUAAGUGUUAGGGGGUUUCCGCCCCUUAGUGCUGCAGCUAACGCAUUAAGCACUCCGCCUGGGGAGUACGACCGCAAGGUUGAAACUCAAAGGAAUUGACGGGGACCCGCACAAGCGGUGGAGCAU
rnacentral:rRNA from 1 species